CCCAACCACUGCACCCCAGCCCCACUCCCGGCCCGCGACUCGGGGCCCGAGCCUCGCCUACCUGCGGAGCCCUGGUAUCCCGCGGGCCGUGGCUCCCCAGCCUUUCAGCUCCGCGGCUCCCCGGUUCCCCGGUGGUGGGGGCUGGGCGCAGUCCUUGGCUCCCUGGCCCAGGGUUUGGAGGCUCUGCCCGGGAGAGUGGCGGGAGGGGCGGUCGUUGGUCGUCGACUCUGGGCUCCAGUCUGCAGCGCCCUCUGGGAGCGGACACCGAGCGCCCUCCAGGAAAUCAACCCUGAACAUUCAUCGGAAGGGCUGAUUCUGAAGCUGAAACUCCCAAUACUUUGGCCGACUCACUGGAAAAGAUCCCGGUGCUGGGAAAGACUGAAGGCAAGAGAAGAGGCAGCAGAGGAUGAGAUGGUUGAAUGGCAUCACCGAUUCAAUGGACAUGUGUUUGCACAAACGUUGGGAGCUAGUGAAUGACAAGGAAGCCUGGUGUGCUGCUCUUCACAGGGUAGCAGAGUCGGACAUGACUUAGUGACUUAACAACAAGGAUACAAGUGUCUGAUUGCCUUUAGGGCCUACGUGGAUGAUCCAGGAUAAGCUCCCAUCUCAAAAAGCUUAACUGAAUCACAUCUCCAAAAUCCGCAAAAGACGUCUCUCUGAUUUUUUUUUUUUUCCCUUGGCCAGGUAAACUCCCGGCCUUCAGGCCACCCCAGCUGACACCGAGGGUAGACACGGUGCCUUCUGAUCCUGGCCCACACUACUAAUGUAUGAGUUUGAAAAAAAGGAAGGGGAAGAGCAAGAUGAAGCUUCUGCCACUGGAUCCAGGGGUGGUUUAUUUCACAGCAAAAGACAGGUAAGACACAUUAGAAGAGGACACAAUGUUCCAGGCUCAUCCUGGGUACCUCCUACCCUAGAUCUGCAAUUAGCCAAUAAGAAAUGGAACUUGAAGACCUCAGUCUGAACUCUUUGGAUGAACUGAUUAAAUUGGGGAGAAAUAACAGUUCGUAGCAUUGACUCUUCCUAUCUGGGAAUAUGCCAUCACUACUUAAUCCAUUUUUCUUUACCAUCUUUCAGUGAAAAUUAUUCUCUUCACAUCAUGAAUUUGUUUUUUUUUUUUCCCACGGUUAUUUGAAAGCUUUUUUUUUUUACUAUGAUGAUUUUUUUAAAAUUAGUUUUUUGAAAAAAAAAUUAGUUUUUUGGUGUCUAGACAGCUG
ensembl:lncRNA